GCCUUUAAAAGUGGAAACAAAAAAAUGGGCACAAAAGCAGAUGUGAAGUUUAUUUAAACCCAGCUCAAUGAACACAUUGUAGCACCCAAAGGAGAAGGGACAGAAAGAAAGGGAUGCGCUAGAGUGGUUGGAUAUUUGCUAAACCAGAAGACAAUGCUUUCAAUAUACUCUUCUGUGUGGUGAGAUUAAAAAAACAAAAUUUGAUCAGGUUUGUGGAUGAGGCCAGUAUAAUUUCACUAAGCAAGAGUCUCUCUCCUACAUAUAACGAUGCCGGAAGAAGAAUUAGUAUUGUAGGGGAAUGUGGAAUCCAUAUUUAUAACAUAGUACUUGUCAAUUAAAAAGAAGGCUGACCAACAGCUUAGUUGGGACGUCCAUACAAUGAGAAAUGAGAAAUUGCAUCCCCAAAUUGUGGGAUCCUAAAGUGGUGUGUAAAUUGCAAGAAACUGGGCUUCUUGCUUGCUAAACAGUUCUUCCCUCCUCAGGACUAGCUACGGUCUUGUGGGAAAACUGAACUCAGCUUCCAGCAAAUGUAGAAGGGGGACUGUAAUACUGUGGCAAGCUUCAACUUUAAAGAGGUCAAGGCUACAUAUUGCCUGGUUAUGCAGCUCGAAAAACCUGUUUGUGUGACCAUGGUUACACAGCGAAACCAGUCAUUCAAGAAAUAAAGAAAGGGACUUUCAAUAAGCUUUCAAAAUGGUUGUAUACAUUCACUGAGGUCUUCUCCGUGUGUGCUGGCAUUCACGUCAUCUUAACUUUUAUGAACAUCAGAGUAGUCAAUGCCGACCUACAAGUUUGUGAAUUGAACUGGAAAUGCAUUGUGCUUGGCUGCAGUACACUUUAUA